rnacentral:rRNA from 1 species
UACGAAGGGGGCUAGCGUUGUUCGGAAUUACUGGGCGUAAAGCGCACGUAGGCGGACUAUUAAGUCAGGGGUGAAAUCCCGGGGCUCAACCCCGGAACUGCCUUUGAUACUGGUAGUCUUGAGUCCGGAAGAGGUGAGUGGAAUUCCGAGUGUAGAGGUGAAAUUCGUAGAUAUUCGGAGGAACACCAGUGGCGAAGGCGGCUCACUGGUCCGGUACUGACGCUGAGGUGCGAAAGCGUGGGGAGCGAACAGG